rnacentral:lncRNA from 12 species
UAAGACUCAUGGCUCAUCUUAUCUGUCUCAUGACAGAUAUAUUCUCAAAUUGGUCUUGUGAACGAUUAGCCACGUCUUACGAGCAAGAUGAAUAAAAAUAUGAAUAUGUUCUAGAGGAGCUACUGCAUAGUUCACUGUGACUGUUCUGCUGUCUGACUGCCUCAGAGCUACUGUGGCUGCCUAGUUGGGGGACUAAACCAUGGCCAGCAUCGUGAUCCCAUAGGAG